AUCCCUGGCCUCCGCCCAGUAGAUGUCAGUAGCGCCCCUCAGCUGUGACAACCAAAAGUGUCACCAGACAUUGCCAAAUGUCCCUCAGGGAGAAGAAUCACCCUUGGGUGAGAAGUCUGCACCCGAGCUUUUCACACCAUGUUCAGGAUUCUAGAGGGAAGUAUAAGAUUCAGAUUCCUGAAGGCCAAGUCAGCCAGGGUGUGUUGCGUCUCCUGGUUCAAGAUCGAGAUUCUCCAUUUACAUCAGCUUGGAGAGCAAAAUUCAACAUAUCACAUGGCAAUGAAGAGGGACAUUUUGACAUUUCGACUGACCCUGAGACCAAUGAAGGGAUAUUAAAUGUUAUCAAGGCUUUGGAUUAUGAGACUCGCCCAGCGCAAAGCCUCGUCAUUGUCGUGGAGAAUGAGGAGAGGCUCUUCUUCUGCGAGAGAGGAAAGCUUCAGCCACCAAGGAAGGCAGCAGCAAGCGCCACUGUGAGUGUGCAGGUGACAGACGCCAACGACCCACCAGCCUUUCACCCCCAGAGCUUCAUUGUCAGUAAAGAGGAGGGCGCCAGGCCUGGGACCCUGUUGGGAACUUUUAAUGCCAUGGAUCCAGACA
rnacentral:sRNA from 1 species